rnacentral:rRNA from 1 species
GCGGUAAGGCCCUUCGGGGUACACGAGCGGCGAACGGGUGAGUAACACGUGGGUGAUCUGCCUCGCACUUCGGGAUAAGCCUGGGAAACUGGGUCUAAUACCGGAUAUGACCUUUCAGUGCAUGCUGUUGGGUGGAAAGAUUUAUCGGUGCGAGAUGGGCCCGCGGCCUAUCAGCUUGUUGGCGGGGUAACGGCCCACCAAGGCGACGACGGGUAGCCGACCUGAGAGGGUGACCGGCCACACUGGGACUGAGACACGGCCCAGACUCCUACGGGAGGCAGCAGUGGGGAAUAUUGCACAAUGGGCGGAAGCCUGAUGCAGCGACGCCGCGUGAGGGAUGACGGCCUUCGGGUUGUAAACCUCUUUCGACAGGGACGAAGCGCAAGUGACGGUACCUGUAGAAGAAGCACCGGCCAACUACGUGCCAGCAGCCGCGGUAAUACGUAGGGUGCGAGCGUUGUCCGGAAUUACUGGGCGUAAAGAGCUUGUAGGCGGUUUGUCGCGUCGUCCGUGAAAACUUGGGGCUCAACCCCAAGCUUGCGGGCGAUACGGGCAGACUUGAGUACUUCAGGGGAGACUGGAAUUCCUGGUGUAGCGGUGAAAUGCGCAGAUAUCAGGAGGAACACCGGUGGCGAAGGCGGGUCUCUGGGAAGUAACUGACGCUGAGAAGCGAAAGCGUGGGUAGCGAACAGGAUUAGAUACCCUGGUAGUCCACGCCGUAAACGGUGGGUACUAGGUGUGGGUUUCCUUCCACGGGAUCCGUGCCGUAG